AACGAACGCUGGCGGCGCGCCUAAUACAUGCAAGUCGAGCGAGAAGACGUAGCAAUACGUUUGUAAAGCGGCGAACGGGUGAGGAAUACAUGGGUAACCUACCCUCGAGUGGGGAAUAACUAGCCGAAAGGUUAGCUAAUACCGCGUACGCUCUUUGGACUUCGGUUCAGGGAGGAAAGCGAUACCGUGGGUAUCGCGCUCUUGGAUGGGCUCAUGUCCUAUCAGCUUGUUGGUGAGGUAACGGCUCACCAAGGCUUCGACGGGUAGCUGGUCUGAGAGGACGAUCAGCCACACUGGCACUGCGACACGGGCCAGACUCCUACGGGAGGCAGCAGUAAGGAAUAUUGCGCAAUGGGCGAAAGCCUGACGCAGCGACGCCGCGUGGGGGAUGAAGGUCUUCGGAUUGUAAACCCCUUUCGGGAGGGAAGAUGGAAUGGGGUAACCCAUUUGGACGGUACCUCCAGAAGCAGCCACGGCUAACUUCGUGCCAGCAGCCGCGGUAA
rnacentral:rRNA from 1 species